rnacentral:rRNA from 5 species
GGCGAUCAGAUACCGCCCUAGUUCUGACCGUAAACGAUGCCAACUAGCGAUCCGCCGGCGGAUUCAUUCGCCCUGGUGGGGAGCUUCCCGGAAACGAAAGUCUUCCGGUUCCGGGGGAAGUAUGGUUGCAAAGCUGAAACUUAAAGGAAUUGACGGAAGGGCACCACCAGGAGUGGAGCCUGCGGCUUAAUUUGACUCAACACGGGGAAACUCACCCGGCCCGGACACCGCAAGGAUUGACAGAUCGAUAGCUUUUUCAUGAUUCGGUGGAUGGUGGUGCAUGGCCGUUCUUAGUUCGUGGAUCGAUUUGUCUUCUUAAUUGAGAUAACGAGCGAGACUCUUGCCUACUAAAUAGCCAGUGUAUUGUCACUGUGCAUAUGGCUUCUUAGAGGGAUUUUCGGUGUUCAGCCGCACGAAACGGAGCAAUAACAGGUCUGUGAUGCCCUUAGAUGUCCGGGGCUGCACGCGCGCUACACUGGCAAAAUCAGCGUGCUUGUCCUGCUCCGAAGGGAGUGGGUAAACCCUUGAAAAUUUGCCGUGAUUGGGAUCGGAAAUUGCAAUUAUUUUCCGUGAACGAGGAAUUCCAAGUAAGUGCGAGUCAUCAACUCGCGUUGAUUACGUCCCUGCCCUUUGUA